rnacentral:lncRNA from 1 species
CCGCCUUCUCUCUCCGUUCAGGCAGUCGGGGUUCGGCAGUUGCUUGGGCAGUCGGCCCCUAUUCCCCCAAAAGCUAAGUUCGAUCCCCAAUUGUUGUAUAAACGAAUUCUUGUAGUAUCUAAUACUCUAUGAAUCUCAUAAGUGUUAUUGCUAUCUUGAAUACUUGGUUUAGAAGCUAAAAUGUUGAAACGUAAUUAUCUCGCAUAAAAUUCUAGUAUGAUGCUGCUAUUUACGCCUUUGUCUUGUGAAUAAAAACUGAUUGAGCUAUUCUGUAUCUGUAACAUGCUAUGGAUUAUUCUCUAUUACAGAAACUCAUGGUUUAGCUAUGUUCAUAAGCGUAUUAUCUGAAUCUCAUAAGAAAACUGAUCAUCGGUUGUGUUGGGGCGUGAAAUGCAUAUUAUGAAAGAAGGCAUAUGAGAUAGUAAAUACCUUGAUUGUUUGUUGUUGAUGGCUGUUGUUGUUGAUUGAAUCAGUGGAUAGAUACACUGAAAUAUAAAGAUUGUUGGUUUUCCUCAAUGAAUGCAGGAGGAAACAGGGAGAGGUGGAAAAAUUGAAGUUUAAGUCUUACCUUGAAUGUUGGCAGCAGCUUAAUGAAUUCUCCUCACUUUGGUGGCUGAAGGAACAUAGAAUGAAGGCAAGGAGUGUUGGCUAGUAGCCUUAAAGAAUCGAAGAUGGUGGAGGUGGUGGUUGAAAAGGUAGGGAGAAAAGGGUGGUGGGCUGAGGGAGCACACUUAUUAUUCAUUCCACUAACUUUGCAACAUUUUUUUUUAAAACAUCUCUCUUUCUCAGUGGAACGUUGUUGAAGUGGAGAUAGCUGUCAUAAGGUGGCUUAUUUACACCUAUGUGUACCUUGACAUGAUUAAAGGGAUGGGAAAGUUGCUGGAAAG